rnacentral:tRNA from 1 species
UUCAGCUUAGUAUAUGUUGUAAUACGAAUGAUUGUAGAUCUUUAUAAAGUUUAGGCUAGCUGAGA